rnacentral:lncRNA from 1 species
UGGAGAUGAGAGGUGCUGAUGGUGGACCUUGGAGGAGAUUGUGUGCUUUGCCUGCAUUUUGGGUUUGUUUGCUGACUCUUCCUGCAUUUGUUAUGUAUAUCUACAGAGUCUCAUUUACAGCACAGACAUGGGCAGUAUGUUCAUUGUUACUGUACUAAUUAGUACUCCCUCCUUUUUCAAAUUAUAAGGCAUAUUUUGACAGUCCAAAUUGGUGCUUUGACCAACAAUUAGUUUUAAUGAUAUGUGGUUUAUGUUACAUUAAAUAGACAACAUGAUUGGAUCCAUCAUAUCCAAAAGCACAUCUUAUGACUGAUCUUGUAACCAUAACUAAAUAUUAUACGAGAUUACAGUCAAAAUACGCCUUAUAUUUUGAAAUGGAACAAGUAACUUCCAUUUCGUUGCAAAACUCAGAAUCAGCUUUGCAUCUGAUUUGUCCUUCUCUGCAGGUUGGGUUGUUGUAUGACGACGAAUCAUUACAGAGCAUUAUUGACAUGACUUCUGACUGGACAAAGGAAGAAAGAGAGAUGUUGAGACGGAAGGUAUCUCAAGAUAUUUCUGCUCUUUAUCCUUAGUGGUAGAAACUGUUGUCGUUUGGAAACAUCAAUUAGAAGACUAGAAUUUGCACUAGCAGAUUUGAGAGGCAUAAAUUUCUACUUGAAUUGUGAGUGAUCGUGUGUUUUAUUUGAUCAGGUGCCAGUAACUGGUUUGAAGACGCCAUUCCGGGAUGGGUAUGUAAGAGAUUUAGCUGAAGAUGUUCUCCAGUUAGCUAAGGUAACUCCCUAUUUUCUGGCUACUAAUCCUUUCCCAUAAGUCUACAAACAUGCUGCUUGUGAUAACGAUCCUAUUGUGGUGGUGCAGAAUGGAUUAGAAAGAAGAGGAUACAAGGAGGUUGGUUUCCUGAGAGAAGUCGACGAAGUUGUUAGAACAGGUGACGCUUUCAGAACACUUUUAUUCACUUGAUCAAGAUAAAUACUCCAGAUGAUCAAAAUUCUUGUCUUAGAUUCGUCUAGAUACGGAUGUAUCUAAUACUAAAACGUGACUUGAUAUAUCCAUAUUUAGACAAAUCUAAGACAAGAAUUUUGGGACGGAGGGAGUACUAGCUUUGCGACGGCGGGCUGUGAACUGCGCCUUCUCCAGAUGAUAAUUCUCAAUCUACUCUUGUGCAGGAGUGACACCUGCCGAGAAGCUUCUGAAUCUAUACGAGAUGAAGUGGCAGCGCAGCGUGGACCCUGUGUUCGAGGAGUUGUUAUAUUGAUAUGCUGAUAUCGUAUAUAACUUCGGUGGAAGCUGGACAAGGUGGACAGGGUCUUCAGAUUGUAUCCCCAUACAAAAUCCCGUCCCCAAUUCUACAAGCCACCUGACCAGGGAAGCCUACUCUCUGGUCUCGCGGCUGCGAAUAAUUUUGAGCUCGGAACACUCUGUUUGUGGCUUGCCGCCUUUCUUUCUUUGGCUGUGUGGACCUUUUACAGCUUCUGAUUUUUCUCGCAUCUCCAGGGAGCCGGAACAAGCACCUGUUUGUACCGAUCCCUUUUUCAUCUUUUCCUGAUGAACGGCUUGUAUUCCGAAUAAAUCCAUCUCGCGUGAUGAUGGAAGGAACCUGAUUUCCAGAAAUAAUAAUUCAGAGUGUUUGAGACGUAUGCUCGGGUUAAAGCACUUCAAAAGUGUAAAG